AUGGCGCCCUCCACCACCACCGGUGCUGUCCCAGUCCCACGAUGUCCUGUUAUCUUCAACGGACAGAACUACAGGGACUGGGUGCAGCACAUGAAGCUGCACAUGAGGGGCCAGCUGGUCUGGGAGCACCUCUCUGGUGCUCUGCCUUGUCCCCUGCUGCCCACUCCUCCAGCUGAGUUGGCCUUCCCUGUUGAUGCCGAUGAAACCAAGCAACGUGAGAUGCUAGAUGCUUUUGAAGAGGCCACUGAAGAGUAUCAGAAUCAACUCCACUUAUACAAGCAAUGGACAAAUGAUGAUGCUCGAGCCUCUUCUAUCUUGGUGAACAGCAUGGAUGUUGAUCUCACCAUGGAUGUGGUGGCCCUUACCACUGCAUAUCAGAUGUGGGAGCACCUUCGCCAUCGCUAUGAGUCUACAGGGGAUGCCAUGUAUCUCUCUGUUGUUCGUCAAGAGCAACAACUACAACAGGGAGAUGCUACUGUGGAUGAUUUCUACAAGGAGAUGUCGGCGGUGUAG
rnacentral:rRNA from 1 species